rnacentral:rRNA from 1 species
CGAGGCUGAAAGCGUAGUCGAUGGAAACAGGUUAAUAUUCCUGUACUUCUAGUUACUGCGAUGGNGGACGGAAAANAACCAGCUUGNANUUGUUGUCAAGUUUAAGGUGGUAGGCUGAAAUCUUAGAAAUCCGGGGUUUCAAGGCCGAGAGCUGACGAGUCGUCUUUUAGAUGACGAAGUGGUUGAUGCCAUGCUUCCAAGAAAGCUUCUAAGCCAGGUAACCAGGAACCGUACCCCAAACCGACACAGGUGGUCGGGUAGAGAAUACCAAGGCGCUUGAGAGAGAACUCGGUGAAGGAACUAGGCAAAAUGGCACCGUAACUUCGGGAGAAGGUGCGCCGGCUAGGGUGAAGGAUUUACUCCAUAAGCUCUGGCUGGUCGAAGAUACCAGGCCGCUGCGACUGUUUAUUAAAACACAGCACUCUGCAAACACGAAAGUGGACGUAUAGGUGUGACGCCUGCCCGGUGCCGGAAGGUUAAUUGAUGGGGUUAGCAAGCGAAGCUCUGAUCGAAGCCCGGUAAACGGCGGCCGUAACUAUAACGGUCCUGGGUAGCGAAAUUCCUUGUCGGGUAAGUUCCGACCUGCACGAAUGGCGUAACGAUGGCGGCGCUGUCUCCACCCGAGACUCAGUGAAAUUGAAAUCGCUGUGAAGAUGCAGUGUAUCCGCGGCUAGACGGAAGACCCCGUGAACCUUUACUGUAGCUUUGCACUGGACUUUGAGCCUGCUGUGUAGGAUAGGUGGGAGGCUUUGAAGCGUGGACGCCAGUUCGCGUGGAGCCAUCCUUGAAAUACCACCCUGGCAUGCUUGAGGUUCUAACUCUGGUCCGUAAUCCGGAUCGAGGACAGUGUAUGGUGGGCAGUUUGACUGGGGCGGUCCUCCUAAAGAGUAACGGAGGAGUACGAAGGUGCGCUCAGACCGGUCGGAAACCGGUCGCAGAGUAUAAAGGCAAAGCGCGCUUGACUGCGAGACAGACACGUCGAGCAGGUACGAAAGUAGGUCUUAGUGAUCCGGUGGUUCUGUGGAAGGGCAUCGCUCAACGGAUAAAAGGUACUCCGGGGAUAACAGGCUGAUACCGCCCAAGAGUUCAUAUCGACGGCGGUGUUUGGCACCUCGAUGUCGGUUCAUCACAUCCUGGGGCUGGCCGGUCCCAAGGGUAUGGCUGUUCGCCAUUUGAAGUGGUAGCGAGCUGGGUUUAGAACGUCGUGAGACAGUUCGGUCCCCUAUCUGCCGUGGACGUUUGAGAUUUGAGAGGGCUGCUCCUAGUACGAGGACCGGAGUGGACGAACCUCUGGUGUUCCGGUUGUCACGCCAGCGGCAUUGCCGGUAGCUAUGUUCGGAAAAGAUAACCGCUGAAAGCAUCUAAGCGGGAAACUUGCCUCAAGAUGAGAUCUCACUGGGAACUGAUUCCUGAAGGCCGUCGAAGACUACGACGUUGAUAGGCUGGGUGUGAAAGCGUUGUGAGGCGUUGAGCUAACCAGUACUAAUUGCCCGUGAGGCU